UACAAUUGGAGAGUUUGAUCCUGGCUCAGAACGAACGCUGGCGGCGUGCCUAACACAUGCAAGUCGAGCGCGAAUGGAGCAAUCCUAGUA
rnacentral:rRNA from 1 species